AUAAUGGGUCAGCGACUUAUAUUCUGUAGCAAGGUUAACCGAAUAGGGGAGCCGAAGGGAAACCGAGUCUUAACUGGGCGUUAAGUUGCAGGGUAUAGACCCGAAACCCGGUGAUCUAGCCAUGGGCAGGUUGAAGGUUGGGUAACACUAACUGGAGGACCGAACCGACUAAUGUUGAAAAAUUAGCGGAUGACUUGUGGCUGGGGGUGAAAGGCCAAUCAAACCGGGAGAUAGCUGGUUCUCCCCGAAAGCUAUUUAGGUAGCGCCUCGUGAAUUCAUCUCCGGGGGUAGAGCACUGUUUCGGCAAGGGGGUCAUCCCGACUUACCAACCCGAUGCAAACUGCGAAUACCGGAGAAUGUUAUCACGGGAGACACACGGCGGGUGCUAACGUCCGUCGUGAAGAGGGAAACAACCCAGACCGCCAGCUAAGGUCCCAAAGUCAUGGUUAAGUGGGAAACGAUGUGGGAAGGCCCAGACAGCCAGGAUGUUGGCUUAGAAGCAGCCAUCAUUUAAAGAAAGCGUAAUAGCUCACUGGUCGAGUCGGCCUGCGCGGAAGAUGUAACGGGGCUAAACCAUGCACCGAAGCUGCGGCAGCGACGCUUAUGCGUUG
rnacentral:rRNA from 1 species